rfam:Daphnia magna strain Xinb3 scaffold00243, whole genome shotgun sequence.
ACGCUCGAACCCGUAGAUCCGAACUUGUGUGUGAAUUUGCAAAAAAAUCACAUCGUGCAUCACAAGUACGAUUCUAAGGGUCCAAGCUGA